GGUGUGUGUGUGUGUGGGGGGGGGGGUGGGGGAUCUGAAUGCACAGGGACUUGUUGGGAGGUUUUGAGUGCAAUAGCAAUGGGGCUCUGCAGGGGGGUCCAGGGGAAGGUGGUUGGGGCUCAGCAUGGGGGGGGAUAGAGCUCAGAAG